UGGAACUAGCAGCACCCAAACCACAAGAACUGGAUAAAUUUCUGGCAAAUAUAGACAAUAUAUGUAGGCACUUAAGCGUAUUUGUCGAUUUUUCAUUCUGUAGCAACAGAUAUCUGCAGGUAAAGAAAGCAAUGCUUCGACAAAAGACAUAUUUAGGUAGUAAAGUAUAUAAUUUAUAAGUAUAUGUUGAUAUGCCUUCUAUAGAUAGCAUACAUUCUCCACAACUACAUAGCUAGAUAGCUUGCUUCAGCUAGACCAGUUAAGGAUUAGGUGAUGGUGGGGUGAGCGCUUCAGCCUCGGCUGAUGUGCUCUGGUUAGGAGGUUUCGGGACUGUUGGAACUUCACCUACAGGACUAACCUCGGCUGAUGUGCUCUGUUUAGGAGGUCUCAGGGCUGAUGUGCUCUGUUUAGGAGGUCUCGGGGCUGAUGUGCUCUGUUUAGGAGGUUUCGGGACUGUUGGAACUUCACCUACAGGACCAACUGACGAGUGCUGAACUGCAGCAGUCUGAGCCUUUGGCGACGGAAAUGGAGGAGUUUGAGCUGGUGGAGGCUGAAUGGGAGAUUGGUUGGUCAGUAAGGGCUGAGACGUAGGGGAUAGCGGACCCUGAUCUGGCGGAGAUGAGCCGGGUGAGGACUGGUCCAGGGGAGGUGGUAAAAGAAAUCUGGGUAUAGGAAUGCAUCCAAUAAGGCGAAUACAGUAGCCAGGAGGAUCAUACGAAAAGUAUGGUAAAAAUGGGAAUAUAGAAGAACCACCACCCCCUGGGUUGAACGGUGGAAAUCCAAAAAUGCCUGGUAUAUUGAAAGUUCCUCCUGGAAUAUUGUCUGGGUGAUCUAGUUUUUGUUGACCCGAAAAAUUCCAGGUACGAAAGCCUGAAAAGCUUGGAGGCAAACCAAAAAAGUUUUGACCCUGGUUAACAUCUUUUAUCUUGCUAAUACUGUUGCCUCUUGCUUCAACCAUGUCUGACUUGAAGCACAUAUCAAAGACAAUCAACAUUAUUAUUACCUUACUGAACUUCUCCAUUCUAACAACUUCUGUGUUCUCACUCUUCCCGAAUGAUGAAAGGA
rnacentral:lncRNA from 1 species